UACGCAGUGAAAAUUACAUGCUUACCUGUUGCAGUCUCUGCAGCAGAAAUGAUUAAUGGAGUAAAUGAGCUGGUGAUUAACUAGCUCCCACCCUGAGGAUCUGACAACCCCUCAGGACCAUUCUGAC